rnacentral:rRNA from 1 species
AACGAACGCUGGCGGCAUGCCUAACACAUGCAAGUCGAACGAGACCUUCGGGUCUAGUGGCGCACGGGUGCGUAACGCGUGGGAACCUGCCCUUAGGUUCGGAAUAACUCCCCGAAAGGGGUGCUAAUACCGGAUAAUGUCUUCGGACCAAAGAUUGAUCGCCGUUGGAUGGGCCCGCGGUGGAUUAGCUAGUUGGUAGGGUAAAAGCCUACCAAGGCGACGAUCCAUAGCUGGGCCGGGAGGAGGGUCAGCCACACUGGGACUGAGACACGGCCCAGACUGCUACGGGGGGCAGCAGGGGGGAAUAUUGGACAAGGGGGGAAAGCCUGGGCCGGCGGUGCCGCGGGAGGGAAGAAGGCCUUAGGGUGGUAAAGCUCUUGUAACGGGGAUGAGAAUGACAGUACCGGGAGAAUAAGGUCCGGCUAACUCCGUG